rnacentral:pre_miRNA from 1 species
CUAAUACUCCCUCCUUUCCAAAUUACUUGUCGCAGAAAUGGAUGUAUCUAGAACGAAAAUACAUCUAGAUACAUCCAUACCUGCGACAAGUAAUUCGGAACGGAGGGAGUAGUAG